rnacentral:ncRNA from 2 species
AAUGGAAUAUUUCUCCGAAUUUGUUAGCCUAAAGAGUUAUUAGCUUAAGGGUAAUAAAUCGAAAGGGUAUAAUUGGAAACGAUUAUGCCUCCCGUAGUGGAAAGGAGAAUAGAAUGAUUUAAA